rnacentral:rRNA from 1 species
UACGUAGGGUGCGAGCGUUGUCCGGAAUUAUUGGGCGUAAAGGGCUCGUAGGCGGUUUGUCACGUCGGGAGUGAAAACUCGGGGCUUAACCCCGAGCCUGCUUCCGAUACGGGCAGACUAGAGGUAUGCAGGGGAGAACGGAAUUCCUGGUGUAGCGGUGAAAUGCGUUGAUAUCAGGAGGAACACCCAUGGCGAAGGCAGCAAACUGGUCAUCAACUGACGCUGAGGCGCGAAAGCGUGGGUAGCAAACAGG